GAUGAACGCUGGCGGCGUGCCUAAUACAUGCAAGUCGAGCGAACGGACGAGAAGCUUGCUUCUCUGAUGUUAGCGGCGGACGGGUGAGUAACACGUGGAUAACCUACCUAUAAGACUGGGAUAACUUCGGGAAACCGGAGCUAAUACCGGAUAAUAUUUUGAACCGCAUGGUUCAAAAGUGAAAGACGGUCUUGCUGUCACUUAUAGAUGGAUCCGCGCUGCAUUAGCUAGUUGGUAAGGUAACGGCUUACCAAGGCAACGAUGCAUAGCCGACCUGAGAGGGUGAUCGGCCACACUGGAACUGAGACACGGUCCAGACUCCUACGGGAGGCAGCAGUAGGGAAUCUUCCGCAAUGGGCGAAAGCCUGACCGAGCAACGCCGCGUGAGUGAUGAAGGUCUUCGGAUCGUAAAGCUCUGUUAUUAGGGAAGAACAUAUGUGUAAGUAACUGUGCACAUCUUGACGGUACCUACUCAGAAAGCCACGGCUAACUACGUG
rnacentral:rRNA from 1 species